rnacentral:lncRNA from 10 species
AAAAGCAAGGAGUGUCGGGAAUGGCGACCAAGCGGCUCGCGCGGUACUCGAGGGAGUUCCGGGUCGGGGGCGGGUAGCUCCGGGUCCAGCGCUGGCGUUGGCCGCAGAGCAGGGCACGGCAGGUGGCAUCUGCGGUGAGGGCCUCUAUUCCCCGCAGCCCCGGCGUCUGCGACCUGCCCUCUCUGGCACGGUUGGAAAGGCGCCUCCCUGGACCUCGGUCUUCAGCCUUGGGCCACCUUCUACCCGAGGGUGACAGGAGCCCGAGGCGGACGAACCCUGGGGCCUUGACUGUGUGGCCUUGAGCCAGUGCCUGCCUAUUUUAGGCCUUGGGAAACGACUGGACGUGACAGUGCCCUGCAGACUGGUUGGAGGUCUCAGGCAGGCCACACACUGAAUCUGUCAAGGUGUUCAACCUGUUCGAAAUGCUCGUUCCUCGGUGCUGCAGCUUGGAUUAAUUAGGAGAAAGUCAAUUGCGCCAGCAAAUGGAAAUCUCGGAAGAAGCAAAUCCAAGCAGUUGUUUGACUACUUAAUUGUCAUUGAUUUUGAAUCGACAUGCUG